ensembl:lncRNA
CAUCGGGCUAAUAAUGCUAGCCAGACCCUCCUGGGACUCUGCUGUUAGUUAUGAAAAAAGCAAUCCUGUUCUCCUAAUCUUCAGUAUGCUCUAUAGUCAGGGGUUUUGAAAGUAAGUUUAAAAAGUAAAAGAUUAUUUUGGCUAGCACUUCCCUGGUGGUAUAGCGGGUAGGAAUCUGCCUGCCAAAGUAUGGGACACGGUUUGGUCCCUGGUUUGGGAGGAUCCCACGUGUCGCGGGGCAGCUAAAGCUAUGCACACAGCGACUGAUCCCGCGCCCUAGAGUCCGGCAACGAGAGAAGCUGCUGCUUCGGAACCCUGCACCCUGCAAUGAGAGAGUAGCCCCCCUUGCUGCAACUAGAGAAAGACCCAGUGCCACUGCAGACACAUAAAUUACUUAAAAUAUAUUUUAAAAAGAUGAUAUUGGCUAGCAGUUCGGAAAAAAGUUUUCAAGAGGGCUCUGACACUCUCUUCUGAAGUAUUUUGAGGCUGUUCAGUUCAGUCGCUCAGUCGUGUCUUACUCUUUGCGAGUGAGGCUGUUACAAAGAAAAAAACUAUUUUAAAAUUUGAGAUGCGUAUGAGACACAGCGCAGCUGGGUUGAGGUGGGUGCCAAGUCUUGCGGACCCCUUUAAUUCAUUCCGAGACAUGGCAUUAACCUUGGCUUUGCUAAAUAAUACCUUUAAACAGGACGUGAAUCACUGUGGUCAUUACGCUGGUGUCGUUCGUCAUCACGCUGAGUCCUGAGUGCUCAAGGUUUUGAGUAAUAACUGUAUAGUCACUGAUGACGGAGACCAAGUUUACAUGUGUGUUUUAUUCAUGAUUUUCUGUCAAAUGUCAAAAUCCGAGAGGAGCCCUGAGCAUCCCGGGAAGGGUCGGCGAGCACACGCAGAUUCUCGGAGGGCCACACCGUGUCCUUGGAGGGUGGAGGUCACCAAGAAGAGAAUGAGGCCGGGAUACCCAAACCCAGAGGGGAGGUCGGCUUCAGCCUUCUAGAAGACAGGAGAGAAGGAAAGCGCGUGCGUGCGUGCACGUCCACCUGGGGUCCGUACUGCUUCUUCCGCUGGUAGCUGUGGCGCCUUCAGCGUAAGACGGGAGUCUUCUGGGCCCCGAGUCUCUCAUCUGUGGAGCGGGGCUGAGACCGCGGCGCCUGUCUCUUGGGUGAGCUGGUGAGGAUAAAAUACUACAAGCUGCGGGAAUGACAUGCUACCUGAGAGCUGUGAGAGUAACAAAGCAAAGAUAAAACUCAAACUCAGUGAGAACAAAAAGCAGACUGAGAGGGCUUCUUGUCCUCCAGGCAGACGGAGCCAUCAGGCUGUAUGUCGAGCGAUGUUAAAGAGUGGGACACGACUGAGCGACUGAGCAUGCUCAUACACGUUCAGAGCAGCAGAGAGGCAGCAGAGGAGGCUGGGCUGCAACAGCAUUCACAGGACCGGAUGACAUCGCUGUGAACCAAGCCAGUGAUCAGACCACAGGCUCCAGACUGUCACCUGCCCAAAAGUCAGCUCCGGGAGGAUUUGCCAGAUCAACACGGGGGUGUCAAAGCAUCAUGCUUCUGUUGCAAAUGUCACCUUUCCCACUGAUUAACUUUGAAAUCCAAGCAUUCUCAGCUGCAGGGAAAGGUUGAUGGAGGUUAUUCAUUUAUUUUUAAAAAUUCUUUCAAUACACAGCCAAUUUUGAACUAAAAAUCAGAAUUAUCCUUCUGAAUCUCGCAUUCUAAUGCUCCUCCCGGAUCGCCCACUUUCUUCCACGCUGCAGAUUUCUUUGGUCAUCGCACAAAACCUGAGGCCGUGCUGCUGGAUGUGUGGUGUGCUCGGGCGUGGGUGCAUGGGGGGCCUUCAGGGUCAGGAUUUUUGUGUGCACGCGUUUUUUCCCCAGGAAGAAGGUCCAGGGCUUUCAAAACUUCCUCUCCAGGGGAUCUCUGAGGUCCCUUCCCCUCGUGUAAAAGCACAAAUAGAGAGCAUGUGACGUGGUUCUGCAUGGAGGUGUCGUUUCUGGUAAGGCCGAGAGGUGGCAGGGUAACCACCAGCCUGCAGCGGCCCCAUUUUCCCGACCGGAGAGAAGCCCCGUGAAAGGAGAUCCUGUCUGUAACCUCGCUUCCUCUUGCACAGACUGUGGAUACAGGGCCCAUCAAACCGCCCUGAAACAUCCCUGGAGGGGGAGAGCAAGGCUGAAGGGGCAGCCUGGGGUUUUAAAGGUCACAAACAUCCAGAGACAACGUUUGGUAAGUGUUUCUGGGGGCGUUGAGCACCACGCCAGAAAUGCACAGAGCUCAAUCAUUGGCAGAAUCAAAAGCACUUAUAAAACCGAUGAUAAUUUCCCAAGCUAUGAUUAACACUUGGUUUUACCACAAAGUAUCACUGUUCAAAGAC